rnacentral:tRNA from 1 species
GCAUUGGUGGUUCAGUGGUAGAAUCUCGCCUGCACGCGGGGAGACCGGGGUUUGAUUCCCCGCCAAUGCA